GACAGAGGGUGCAAACGUUGCUCGGAAUCACUGGGCGUAAAGGGCGUGUAGGCGGGAAGGAAAGUCGGGCGUGAAAUCCCUGGGCUCAACCCAGGAACUGCACUCGAAACUUCUUUUCUUGAGUGCCGGAGAGGAAAGCGGAAUACCUGGUGUAGAGGUGAAAUUCGUAGAUAUCAGGUGGAACACCAGUGGCGAAGGCGGCUUUCUGGACGGUAACUGACGCU
rnacentral:rRNA from 1 species